GAGUUUGAUCUUGGCUCAGAUUGAACGCUGGCGGCAUGCCUUACGCAUGCAAGUCGAACGGCAGCGCGGGGGGUAACCCCGUGGCGGCGAGUGGCGAACGGGUGAGUAAUACAUCGGAACGUAUCCUGUAGCGGGGGAUAACCUCUCGAAAGAGAGGCUAAUACCGCAUACGUCCUACGGGAGAAAGAGGGGGAUCGCAAGACCUCUCACUAUUGGAGCGGCCGAUGUCGGAUUAGCUAGUUGGUGAGGUAAAAGCUCACCAAGGCGACGAUCCGUAGCUGGUCUGAGAGGACGACCAGCCACACUGGAACUGAGACACGGUCCAGACUCCUACGGGAGGCAGCAGUGGGGAAUUUUGGACAAUGGGCGAAAGCCUGAUCCAGCCAUGCCGCGUGGGUGAAGAAGGCCUUCGGUUGU
rnacentral:rRNA from 1 species